rnacentral:rRNA from 1 species
UGGGGAAUAUUGCACAAUGGGCGCAAGCCUGAUGCAGCAACGCCGCGUGAACGAUGAAGGUCUUCGGAUCGUAAAGUUCUGUUGCAGGGGAAGAUAAUGACGGUACCCUGUGAGGAAGCCCCGGCUAACUACGUGCCAGCAGCCGCGGUAAUACGUAGGGGGCUAGCGUUAUCCGGAUUUACUGGGCGUAAGGGUGCGUAGGUGGUCUUUCAAGUCGGUGGUUAAAGGCUACGGCUCAACCGUAGUUAGCCUCCGAAACUGGAAGACUUGAGUGCAGGAGAGGAAAGUGGAAUUCCCAGUGUAGCGGUGAAAUGCGUAGAUAUUGGGAGGAACACCAGUAGCGAAGGCGGCUUUCUGGACUGCAACUGACACUGAGGCACGAAAGCGUGGGUAGCAAACAGG